UACGUAGGGUGCAAGCGUUGUCCGGAAUUAUUGGGCGUAAAGAGCUCGUAGGCGGUCUGUCGCGUCUGCUGUGAAAACUCGGGGCUUAACCCCGGGCCUGCAGUGGGUACGGGCAGACUAGAGUGCGGUAGGGGGAGAUUGGAAUUCCUGGUGUAGCGGUGGAAUGCGCAGAUAUCAGGAGGAACACCGGUGGCGAAGGCGGGUCUCUGGGCCGAAACUGACGCUGAGGAGCGAAAGCGUGGGGAGCAAACAGG
rnacentral:rRNA from 1 species